CGUAGGUGGCAAGCGUUGUCCGGAAUUAUUGGGCGUAAAGCGCGCGCAGGCGGUUCCUUAAGUCUGAUGUGAAAGCCCCCGGCUCAACCGGGGAAGGUCAUUGGAAACUGGGGAACUUGAGUGCAGAAGAGAAGAGCGGAAUUCCACGUGUAGCGGUGAAAUGCGUAGAGAUGUGGAGGAACACCAGUGGCGAAGGCGGCUCUUUGGUCUGUAACUGACGCUGAGACGCGAAAGCGUGGGGAGCAAACAGGAUUAGAUACCCUGGUAGUCCACGCCGUAAACGAUGAGUGCUAAGUUGUUAGAGGGUUUCCGCCCUUUAGUGCUGCAGCUAACGCAUUAAGCACUCCGCCUGGGGAGUACGGCCGCAAGGCUG
rnacentral:rRNA from 1 species